CCUGGGGAAGCAAAGAGUAAAGGGUAACACUCUGAAGUCUGACUCUGUUCUGCAGUCAAAACAAGCACCUGUUUACUGACAGUCAGAAGAACCAGCGCAGUAAAGUCAGGCAGGCAUUGUGCUAUUGCUGCCAUAGGAAAUCUCCAGGCCACCUGAGCUCGUGCACAAGCUGCUGUGUUUCAUAGGCACUGCACCCUAUGCUUGAUGGAAGCAUCUAAUCCUUCAUUGAUCACUGCUACACCUUAAUAGCACCUGAUUGCCCUCAGUGCUGUCUGCUAGACUCAAAUGUACUUCCUUCAAGCCCACGGGUGGAUGAUUUCCCUGUUACCUAUCUGUGAAUAAGGAAUGGUUUGACACAGGCUACCAGCAGCUGUGUUUGCUGCAUAGCACUGCUCCAGACAUCAGUUUUACUCCCAGUUUUGUCACUCAUCUCCUGCACAACCUCAGGCAAAUUCCUCCACUCUCAGCUGCCACACCUGCAAAGUGCUCCCUACCUUCAUCACCGUGUUGAGUCACUCUUGAGUUCUGCUAACAGAAAGCUGUAUAAAAGCAAAGCCUUAUUAAAAAUUUAGCUUUACUCUGGCUUUCUUAAUCCAUUUUUAAUGGGGUUUUUACUGCACACACGUAGGAGCCCAGUUGGAAACGAUGAGGUUUGCUGAUCCAGCAGCGCCGCUCCGCUCCCCACGCAGUCUGCAGAGCUGCACAUCGAGGAACUGAUCGGAGGAAUGAAGAGAUGCUGGUCGUCACCCAACAUCAGGCACGUGAAAGUCAGAAUGCCAAAGCCAGUUGCCCAGCAACGUGGAUUGUAGGCACAGGACAGCAGAGACAAUUCGUGCCAUCUGGACCCUUCUGUGAGAUCUAUAGAGACGCCUGGGACCACGCAAAGUGCUAAAGCACGCCCAUGAAGCCCGGCCAACGCAGUGAGAAAGCAAGGAGCAGAAGGACAAGCGCUUCAUUAUGUGAUGGUGGAAGAAAAUAUGAGUGAAAUGAGAUGCAUUUGUCAAUGAAUAAAACAUUUGUAUACGCCAGAGGCUGUGACCAAAGCAAGCAAAACUGAAAGCCACCCUCCAUGUUAUGGACUGAAACAGUUGCAGGCUGUGGCUAUAAACAGAGUGAGUGUUUUGCUGGUCUGUCUGGAUGAGGGCGGUCAUAAACUGAAGGUCAGAGACAGGAACAGCUGUUUCCAUUCCACACUGCAUGAUGCAAUUCUGCUGUCAUCCCCAUCCUCCUCCGGGGCUCAAUUGAGCACCACAAGGGCUCAGAAGGAAGCGCUGGGUCAGGUUUUAUCCCAUAACCCGCAUUAACCACAGGAUGGGGUCUUCCAUCAGCACUUCAACACCUUUUUAACACCACCUUCUCCUCUUCCUUGGGGGUUCUUUUCCUCCUGAAGUACAAAGGAUCAAUUAGGAUGGCUCAUUUGGGCUAUACUUAACCCCUGGAGGUGACUUAAUGCACAGCCUGAAGAUGCUCAUUUAAUAGGUGAGCACAGCGUGCAACCAUUACCACCUGUUCACCAAAACACAUCACUCCCAGCCCAGAACAACAGCCCUUCUCCUUGUCUUUGAGCAUCCCACGCUCUCACCCCCUCAAACCUCCAGCAAAGCACAUUGUGUGAGCUCUGCUCACUCUGUUACUGCUCUAGGGGUGUCUGAAGAGCCACAGGGCUGAAAACUAACCAAGGGUGAACUUCAGGCUCUGCCUGUGGUUUCCUUUAGGUGCAGCUCAAGAAUUUCCUUGAAUAAUGCUUAAUGAAAUCACUUUUGUACAAGGGACAAUCUCAGAGCAGCAGAAGUCGGACUCCCCGUGCUAUAAAAGCCAGCAGCUGUUAAGCUCUGUGGAUGGAGCUCCCCUUGGCUUUGCAUAGAACACAAUCCUACUCCUCUGGGACUCAUUGCACAGCUCUGCAGGAUCCUAACGUGCACCUGAAGCUCUCCCAUCCCUCUGUCAUCUCCUAACGCAGCCGAUCCAAGCAAGACAGAGAGGAUUUGACAGCGAGUUUCCAUCUGUGGAAGGGCUGUAGUUUAACUCGGAUCCCUGAAAUGGCAGCAAAGCAUCACGUGGUGCAGGGAGAUUAAUCAUAAAGUCAUGUGCCGUAAGGUGGAGCUGUUCCUACAUGAUGCUACGUAGCUGGGUCCUCCUGAAAUGAUGCAGGCUGCCAUGAGCAACACUGUGAUACCAGAACCUGCCCUCUGGAAACAAGAAGUGAUGAUCUUCCUCUUAGACAGGUUCCUAAUCACUAAGUGCUAAUGAGAAAGCAUUUAAAAGGCAGCAGCAAACCGAACAGCUGCAGUUCUUUACCACUAGGAAGUCGUUUUGCUGCCAUAUGGAUUCAUUACACUGUAUAUAAUGUAAAGAAGCUUUGCUGAUAGCAGAGUGCUGCUGUAUUGCUGAGCCAAUAUAAUGCACCCACCUGAAGCUCACCUUCCACCUGCAGCAUAGGCUUUGCUUUUUCCUUUUACCUUUUAAAGCAGUACAGAACAAACAGAUUCUCCACCUUCUAAAGAA